rnacentral:lncRNA from 1 species
AGUUGCACGGUGGCCGCCCCCAAAUUCGAGGAGGAAGGUGCAAAGUGGUGGGAGGCUGCGGGUCUCCCGGAGGGUGAGGCGUUGGGGACCAGGCGGGAGCACAGCCGAACCCCUACCUUUCGGGCGGGGCGGACACCAGCCGCGCGCCCUCGCCGGGCGCCGGGACCGGAAAAUCACCGCGAAGGGAGGGACGAGGAAAGGCGGCGGGUGGCUUCAGGACAAGGACUUUGUGAUUACAUUGGGCCCAUCCAGAUCAUCCAGGAUCAUCUUCCCAUCUCAAGAUUCUUCACUUAAUCACAUCUGCAAAAUUCCUUUUGCUGUGUAAGCUGUGAGAUAUCGGUGGGCGAGGAUGUGAUGCCUGAAGAUGUGGCAUCUACCUUGAAACAGUCAAGGACCUGAGGAUGAAGCCAGCAUCUGAGGAAGACAGACAGAAAGGAUCUGGAUACAUCAUGAGCCUGAAAAGUAUCUUGCAUACACAACUGGCAGCACAGAAUCCUGACAAACCUCUCAUCAGAAAUCAACCACAGACUCUUUAUGCUCUUACCAAAAUGCUGGCUUUGAGAACUAAUUAUGAAUGAAAAUUACUGAUGUGAUUUUCAGUCUAGGGAAGAAUAUCAAGUUAAACUUUAUGAAGUCCAAGACAAUGGGAAAAGAAGAGGUGUUCCUGUCCAGGCCCUCUUCCAGUUAGAAGGUUGAUUCUGUUAUACAAGUACAGAAUAACUGCAGUACAAAACAGCAAUCAAGUCUGAACAGGAAAUCUCUGGACAAAGAGAAAAAUACUAUCAUUGAAAUAAGGGACAAGGGAUUAUGGCAAUAUUAAAUAAUGGCACUGAUUAGUGAAAUGAUUCUAGGGGGAAGUGUCAAAAGAUUUUCUAAAGAACAUGUACUGAGCAGAUGAUCGCUGACUGCAUAAUUGCCCUUUCUGGGUAGGUGUGUAAGACACACACACGCACACACACGUUUGGGAGAAUUGUGACCAUCGGGUUCCAUAGUAACAAGAUAAGUUAUAAUAGCCACCUUUCAUUGAGCACCUACAAUAUGUCACAAACUGUGAUAGGGACUUUAUGUAUUUCAAUACACUAUCUGUUAUCUAUUUUCCUUUUUUUUUGGAGACGGAGUUUCACUCUUGUUGCCCAGGCUGGAGUGUGAUCUCGGCUGGUGCUAUCUCGGCUCAUGGCAACUUCUACUUCCCGGGUUCAAGUGAUACUCCUGUCUCAGCCUCCCGAGUAGCUGGGAUUACAGGCAUGCACUACCACGCCUGGCUAAUUUUGUAUUUUUAGUAGAGACGGGGUUUCUCCUUGUUGGUCAGGCUGGUCUCAAACUCCCGACCUCAGGUGAUCUGCCAGCCUCGGCCUCCUGAAGUCCUGGGAUUACAGGCGUGAUCCAUCUCACCCGGCCUUGUUACCUAUUUUCUAUUGGUAACUGAGGUAAAACCUAUUGGAGGCUUAGCAGUAGGUUCAUGUGUUCAUACAUUUUGGGGAAUGUAAGAGAGUAUCAGGGCAAUUGAUUAUUGCCUUUGUGGGUUGAAAGCAGCAACACAGGAAUAGAUUGCUGAUAUGAAGAGUGAGAUGACCUGUAGAGUAAGCAAUCUAACCAUUAACAUCAACUCAACUUGGGCAAUAAAAUUUGAUAUUUUACUUAUGGGACAAAUAUUUAUUGAGUGUCCAGUUUGUGUCAGGUACUAAAUACGUAAGCUUUACUAAUCCCACUUCUAGAAGAAUGAUUUCUUUUUCUUUUUGAAAUAACACUUCAGCAGAGCACCACAUUGUUUCAGACUUAAGUUUCCUUUUCCAUUUUGUCGACACCAACAGUGUUCUUAUAAUAUUAACUCACCAACAUUUAGUCUAUAAUAUGAUUGCCAGGGAUGUGGCAAUAUGUCCUUGGGAGCUUCAAGCCAUAUAUAUCUGGUCCAUCUUUUGGAAAGUUCAUGACAUAGAUGGGCAAGGAUACAAUUUAUACUCAGGAGAUGCAGCCACCCUAACAGAGUUACAAAUGAAUGUUAAAUGACAUAAACUAUGCGUAGUGCAAGCACGGAAGCAUCUCUUUGGUCUGAGGGAUAUUUGCAGGGACCUUGAAUAGGCAGAGAGAGGGGGACAUGUGGUCUAAGCCUCUGAGUUGGGAGAGGACAAUGAUGGGCAUGGGGGAGAAUGUAUAUGCUGUUUGACUUGAGAGGAUGACAUGUAGGCAUUAUGGUAGUCUUUUUCUUGACAUCUGAUACACAAUCACUUCUUUCUUUUCUCCAUGAAAUCUAGCCACAAAGAUGAGUUGCUCAAAUGUCAAGGUCUACCCCUCUUUAAAGCCUCCAUGAUUUGCACUCUCUGCAGCCUUGGCCAGGAUUGUCCUUAUCUUGCCCUGUCGCUGAUGGGUUAUUUACUACUCAUCUUUCAAGGGCCGGGUAGAAUUUUACCUAUUCUGAGACACCUUCAAGCAGAAUGAGUCUUUCCUUUGCUGUGCUCCCAUGACACAAUGCUCAUCUUCAAUAAAUAAUUAUAUUUUUUGUACCUUCAGUGUAUCAUGUUCAUCUUUGCAUCCCCAGUUUCCUCAAGAAUCCUGGCAUGAAAGAAUAUGCUUGUUGAGUGAAUAAAUUGGCUGAUUCUAAUGUUCAUAAGGCAAAGUUCACCUGUCCUAAUUGCUGAUUCAAUUCCAAUUUGACAGUGUCUUACAGAUUCUGGGUAAAUUGGGAUACUUCCCUUUGUCCUAACAUUGGAAAACCUUGGAGAAAAGUAUUGUUAUUUUCUACAUCAAGUACUUUAUCUGAGACAUGGGCAGCUAAAUAAAAAAUUGACACCUAUUUCCUGCUUUUUGCUGAUGUUCUUUUAGCAUUCUAUUUAUAUGCUAACACUACCAUUUUAGACCCUUGAAAAUCAUUUUUUUAGCAUCACUCUAUAUAUGGUAUGAUUUAAGGACAGAUAGGGAGGCUGUGUCCUCAAUCCUCAUUCUAUACAUUUUUUCUGAUGUCUAUUAGUCCAUUAUUAAUGAUACAUUCUUUAGGUCAGGAUUUCUCAACCUUGGCACUAUUGACACUUUGGGCUAGAUCUUUGUUAUGAAGGGCUGUCCCGUGCAUUGUAGGAUGUUUAGCAGCAUUCUUGCCCUGUAGCAAUUGACCCACUAGAUGCCAGUAGUGCCUUCCUUCUGGUUGUCACAACCAAAA